rfam:Daphnia pulex DAPPTscaffold_122_Cont5068, whole genome shotgun sequence.
GCAGUUGUGGUCGAGUGGUUAAGGCUAUUGACUUGAAAUCUAUUCUCAUGUGAGGGCGAAGGUUCGAAUCGUACCAAGUGCG